GAUGAACGCUGGCGGCGUGCCUAAUACAUGCAAGUCGAGCGAACAGACGAGGAGCUUGCUCCUCUGACGUUAGCGGCGGACGGGUGAGUAACACGUGGAUAACCUACCUAUAAGACUGGGAUAACUUCGGGAAACCGGAGCUAAUACCGGAUAAUAUAUUGAACCGCAUGGUUCAAUAGUGAAAGACGGUUUUGCUGUCACUUAUAGAUGGAUCCGCGCCGCAUUAGCUGGUUGGUAAGGUAACGGCUUACCAAGGCAACGAUGCGUAGCCGACCGGAGAGGGUGAUCGGCCACACGGGAACUGAGACGCGGUCCAGACUCCUACGGGAGGCAGCAGUAGGGAAUCGUCCGCAAUGGGCGAAAGCCUGACGGAGCAACGCCGCGUGAGUGAUGAAGGUCUUCGGAUCGUAAAACUCUGUUAUUAGGGAAGAACAAAUGUGUAAGUAACUAUGCACGUCUUGACGGUACCUAAUCAGAAAGCCACGGCUAACUACGUG
rnacentral:rRNA from 1 species